AUUGAACGCUGGCGGCAUGCCUUACACAUGCAAGUCGAACGGCAGCACGGGAGCAAUCCUGGUGGCGAGUGGCGAACGGGUGAGUAAUACAUCGGAACGUGCCCAAUCGUGGGGGAUAACGCAGCGAAAGCUGUGCUAAUACCGCAUACGAUCUACGGAUGAAAGCAGGGGACCGCAAGGCCUUGCGCGAAUGGAGCGGCCGAUGGCAGAUUAGGUAGUUGGUGGGGUAAAGGCUCACCAAGCCAACGAUCUGUAGCUGGUCUGAGAGGACGACCAGCCACACUGGGACUGAGACACGGCCCAGACUCCUACGGGAGGCAGCAGUGGGGAAUUUUGGACAAUGGGCGCAAGCCUGAUCCAGCCAUGCCGCGUGCAGGAUGAAGGCCUUCGGGUUGUAAACUGCUUUUGUACGGAACGAAACGGCCUUUUCUAAUAAAGAGGGCUAAUGACGGAACCGUAAGAAUAAGCACCGGCUAACUACGUG
rnacentral:rRNA from 1 species